AAGUCGAGCGAUUUACUUCGGUAAAGAGCGGCGGGCGGGUGAGUAACGCGUGGGUAACCUGCCUCAUACACAUGGAUAACAUACCGAAAGGUAUGCUAAUACAAGAUGAUAUAAGAGAUUCACAUGGAUUUCUUAUCAAAGCUCCGGCGGUAUGAGAUGGACCCGCGUCUGAUUAGCUAGUUGGUAAGGUAACGGCUUACCAAGGCGACGAUCAGUAGCCGACCUGAGAGGGUGAUCGGCCACAUUGGAACUGAGACACGGUCCAAACUCC
rnacentral:rRNA from 1 species